AAUCCGUGCUUUAGGCAUUUUUGCAUCAAGUCCUUAAAUCUUUUCCACACCUCGUACAAGAUUUCAUCUUCUAGUUGCUUGAAUGAAGUAAGGUCAUUUUGGAGUUU